rnacentral:misc_RNA from 1 species
ACUCCGUCUGAGUCCCUCCUUGCUCUGGCCGUCGCCCUCGAACAGAUCGCAGCCCUUAACAUGGCUUACCUCCCAGACCCCAUCCUCGCCACCGACCUCGAAACCUGCUACCGCAAACUCCCAUCCUUCGCCUCUCCCCCAGCUAACCACCGUCCCUUCCACCGCCUCCGCAACGACACCAACAUCCCCAUCCAAUUCGAGACCAAUGGUUCAGAUCCCAGAUCAAGAUCCGGGAUCAUCAGCUCUCCCGUAUAUUCUUCG